AUUGAACGCUGGCGGCAGGCCUAACACAUGCAAGUCGAACGAGUGGCGGACGGGUGAGUAAUGUCUGGGAAACUGCCUGAUGGAGGGGGUAACCUCCUGGAACGGUUACCUAAUCCCCCUUACCUUAAGAUGUCCCCAGAUGGGAUUAGCUAGUUGGUGGGUUAAGGGCUCACCAAGGCGACGAUCCCUAGCUGGCCGGAGAGGAUGACCAGCCACACUGGAACUGAGACACGGUCCAGACUCCUACGGGAGGCAGCAGUGGGGAAUAUUGCACAAUGGGAGCAAGCCUGAUGCAGCCAUGCCGCGUGUAUGAAGAAGGCCUUCGGGUUGUAAAGUACUUUCAGCGGGGAGGCGUUACUCGCAGAAGAAGCACCGGCUAACUCCGUGCCAGCAGCCGCGGUAAUAC
rnacentral:rRNA from 1 species